rnacentral:rRNA from 2 species
GUAGGGAAUCUUCGGCAAUGGACGAAAGUCUGACCGAGCAACGCCGCGUGAGUGAAGAAGGUUUUCGGAUCGUAAAACUCUGUUGGUAGAGAAGAACGUUGGUGAGAGUGGAAAGCUCAUCAAGUGACGGUAACUACCCAGAAAGGGACGGCUAACUACGUGCCAGCAGCCGCGGUAAUACGUAGGUCCCGAGCGUUGUCCGGAUUUAUUGGGCGUAAAGCGAGCGCAGGUGGUUUAUUAAGUCUGGUGUAAAAGGCAGUGGCUCAACCAUUGUAUGCAUUGGAAACUGGUAGACUUGAGUGCAGGAGAGGAGAGUGGAAUUCCAUGUGUAGCGGUGAAAUGCGUAGAUAUAUGGAGGAACACCGGUGGCGAAAGCGGCUCUCUGGCCUGUAACUGACACUGAGGCUCGAAAGCGUGGGGAGCAAACAGGAUUAGAUACCCGUGUAGUCC